CAAGGGUAAAAUCAUUGGCAAAGGAACCAUAGGUAACAAAUCCAACUUCUUUAUUGAAGAUGUUUUGUUAGUUGAUAGUUUAAAACAUAACCUCUUGAGUAUUAGUCAAUUAUGUGAUAAAGGAUAUAUCGUCAAAUUCGAAUCUAAUGCUUGCAUCAUUGAAAAACCAUACAAAAAUAUAUCUAUGAUUGCAUUAAAACAGAAUAACGUAUAC
rnacentral:lncRNA from 1 species